rnacentral:misc_RNA from 1 species
AAAAAAAAAAAAACAUAUGGCAUAUUAUAUAAUACAACUAGAUAUAACAAUUUAAGCAAGUAGCAUGAUUAGAAAGGUUUUAAAAAUGAAUUAUUUAGACAUCUAUUUUUAACACCUAAUCAUAUAUGAUAUGCUCUCGAAAAGAGACUAUGGAUGCAUGGUCAUGGAAAUGAAACUACAAAUGUACCAAGGACAAUACAGAAAAAGCCCAAUUAUAUUUCAGUUUAACCGUGAGAUAUUUAAUUCUAGAUCAUUAGAUUAUAAAAAUAUUUUCAAAGACAAAUGUGAAAACACUAUUCCCAGCAAGAAGCAGAACUGUUGUGUGUUUUAAGUACUAGGGUGUAAAUGCAAAGAAACUAUACAUAUAAAGCCUUAAUGACAGGACAUUCAAUUAAGUGUAUAGAUGACAAGGUCGGGAUGGCAAGACUAUACAUAAUCCACAAUAAGAAAGCAGGCUAUUGAGAGCAUGAAAGAAUGAAAUUAAUCGAAAGUACACUAUCUUCAGAAGAUGACAGAUUACGCAAUCUAAGCCAUCCAUAAGCUGAAGUACAGUACCUUCAGAAAUUCUUAACCAAGCAUGAGCAUAAAGUAUCCGUAAUUGCAAAAAAUAAGAAUAAAUGCACAAACACAUUAUAGACUGCAAUUUUUGUUUAGAGGGGAAAAAAUCACAAAUGUCAGUGGUUUUAUUGAACUACAUACCUCCGAAGAAACUGAAUUUUGA